UAGGGAACUUUUCACAAUGAGCGAAAGCUUGAUGGAGCAAUGCCGCGUGAACGAUGAAGGUCUUUAAGAUUGUAAAGUUCUUUUAUUUGGGAAGAAUGACUUUAGCAGGUAAUGGCUAGAGUUUGACUGUACCAUUUUGAAUAAGUGACGACUAACUAUGUGCCAGCAGUCGCGGUAAUACAUAGGUCGCAAGCGUUAUCCGGAUUUAUUGGGCGUAAAGCAAGCGCAGGCGGAUUGAAAAGUCUGGUGUUAAAGGCAGCUGCUUAACAGUUGUAUGCAUUGGAAACUAUUAAUCUAGAGUGUGGUAGGGAGUUUUGGAAUUUCAUGUGGAGCGGUGAAAUGCGUAGAUAUAUGAAGGAACACCAGUGGCGAAGGCGAAAACUUAGGCCAUUACUGACGCUUAGGCUUGAAAGUGUGGGGAGCAAAUAGGAUUAGAUACCCUAGUAGUCCACACCGUAAACGAUAGAUACUAGCUGUCGGGGCGAUCCCCUCGGUAGUGAAGUUAACACAUUAAGUAUCUCGCCUGGGUAGUACAUUCGCAAGAAUG
rnacentral:rRNA from 1 species